AGUGCAUUUGAAACUCCCCUUGCACCAGGGCUGACUGUAGCUGGGGGAAGACAUUUUACUCAUUUGCUCUUUCCUUUCAUACAGUCAGCUGGUCCCUCUUCUCAGGUGUAGAUCACCUAUUAUAAUUUUACCUAAUUUUGAUACUCUGAUAAGGAAAGUCCCAGGACUUAUCAGCUGGGAUAGGCCUCACUUACAAGACAGCUCUGUUCAGUAUUUGGAAGAAAGCCUGACAGGUUUCUUCGGAAAAGUGGCCAUCCAUGGAAUGAAUGAAAUGUUCUCUUUCUAUUCCAGGGAUUGCAGUGGCAAAGCUAGGCUAGGUCUUGGAGGCUGGUGUAAGGCGAUGCGGGUGAAGGCAGGAGGCUGAUGGAAAGACUGGGGGGAAGAAAAGCCGAAAUGGAUUCACGGUGCCUUGGAUGAAGGACGAGAGGGGAACUGCAAGCUCCUUCAACUGGUUCUGUCCGGUGAGAAGUGAUCAAGCUUGGGCUGACAAGAGGCUCAGGGAGCCCUCACGUUCUUUCGCUUUUUUACCUGCCAAUCAAACUGCUACAAGACAACACCCUGAUCUGGCAUGGACAUAUCCAACUUAGAAAUAAUGUUUCAUUCAAGAUAAGGCUCGUGAUUUAGGAGAUUGUGACCUGGCUUGCAUCAUUCUAAGACUUCUAUCAUCUGUUUUCAAAACCCAAGGAGGACCUCAUUUUCUGUGUGAUAGUUCCUCAUGCUUUGCCAGCCACUGUGUCUUUAAGGAAGCUUGCCAAGAGUUCCUGGCUGGGAAGGACAGUUCGAGUUCAUCAUAGACAAUGAGCUGGCACCACAUUUUAAGUGACUCACCAACCUGGUUGCCCACUUCAAAAUGUCAAGAACCACACUAUCUAAUUGAAAGA
rnacentral:sRNA from 1 species